rnacentral:sRNA from 1 species
CGGCCGACGCCGCCGAGUCGCCCACCCAGGGCGAGCCGGGGACCCAGGUACGCCGGGGUGAAUCCGCAGUCCACUGCGGUAGGGCGUCCCCUUCCGCCCGAACCCGUCAGCUAACCCGGUAGGCGGUUCCGGAGAAGGAGU